CUUCCUGAAUAGCUUUUGUUAAAAUUUCCAUGCACAAAUGCAUCUUUGACAGAUUAAGCCUAAGUGUAUUGUACGCUGCUGUAAGUUUGUAUUUGUUCACUUUGGGCAGGUGUGACAGGGGUAUCGCUGUUUGAAGUGUUUGAAUGUCUACCUGUGCCAAAACUGUUUACUGGAAGCCUUCACACCAAGUUCUGGAGUAAUGCAAUUAGGUAUUGUAGCCAGUGCAUUUAGCAUUGGAUUAUACUCAGCAAAACUAUAGUAGCAUAACUGUAGUAGUUGCUGAAACCUGUGUGACUGAGAGAAAAAAAGAGGUCCAAAUUGGGGAGUCUGAAGAAGAGGAGGAGGAAGAGGAACCACACCUUUACAGACAAGAGCUUACUGGAAUAGAUGCAACCUUAGCCGGGUCUGUUGUAGUGGAGGAUUCUGGGACAGAUAACUCAGAUGAUGAAGAAAAAGAGCUUUGUGUCCUAGUGCAGAGACUUCAUGGUUCACUCGUAUCCACACCAAUAGGGAGACACGUAGUUCACAUCAGAUUGAGCCACUGUUAUAGUCAGCAGGAGGGGUUGGAGAUCCAGUGUUUCAUCUUGUUACUUCUCUCAAAUCAAUUGGAAACAGGGGUCAGGAAACAGUGGUCUGCACGACAAAGCCUUUUGCCAGGUCACGGGGAACCUGGAGCCUAUCCCAGGGAGCAUCGGGCAUAAGGCAGGGUACAAUCCAUCGCAGGGCACCAUCACAUACACACUCACCCAUUCAUACACUACAGACACUUUAGACAUGCCAAUCAACCUACUAUCAGGGGAGGAAACCGGAGUACCCGGAGGAAACCCCUACAGCUACGGGGAGAACAUGCAAACUCCGCACACACACGGCCCUGGUGGGACUUGAACCCCGGACCCUGGAGGUGUGAGGCAAACAGGCGAACAUGCUUAACCACUAAGCCAUCGUGCGCCCCCCUUUUUCAAUUUAAUUUAAUAAAACUGUUAAUUACUGAGUUCAGUUGUGUUCAAGUGAAAAGAAAUCUGUGAUCUGUAGUUGACAUCAGCCCUUCGGGAAUUUUUUAAUUUCACCGCUUGUGAUCUUUUUGCAUGAUUGUCAUAUGCAUAAAGAAACUGAAAAAUGUAUUUAAACCCUACAUAUGUUAUUUUUUGUUUUUAAUGCUAUUACGUAAGUGCUGUAGCUGUUCAUUGUUUAUUUUGUUCUUAAGUUAAUAAUGCUGUGAUUUUGGCAGUACUGGA
ensembl:lncRNA